CAUUCUAAAAGCCUGUGCACAAAUACAUUGCCUCCUUCCCAAUCCGUUCCUCCACAGAUUUUUUUUCCCAUCCCAAAGUUUCUUAAUGUAAUAAGAGCAAAUCUUCUCUGCUCCUUCCAGGUUUUGUCAUAUCUUGCAAACACAAGUCCUUCACUACUGUCUCCAUAACCAAGGACUUCAUAAAGUGGAAAUAUGGGACGGUCUGCAAAGUCUUCAGAUUUCUUCACAAGAGCUUCUUUGUUGGCUUGGAAUCCAUUCAACACCACAACAUUAUUCCAGCAAAACUGAAGACUGUAGAUGUUCCAAUAUUUUUUGCUUAGCUCAAUGAAAGAU